UACGGGGGGGCAAGCGUUGUUCGGAAUUACUGGGCGUAAAGGGCUCGUAGGCGGCCAACUAAGUCAGACGUGAAAUCCCUCGGCUUAACCGGGGAACUGCGUCUGAUACUGGAUGGCUUGAGUUUGGGAGAGGGACGCGGAAUUCCAGGUGUAGCGGUGAAAUGCGUAGAUAUCAGGAGGAACACCUGCGGUGUAGACGGCUUACUGGACGGUAACUGACGCUGAGGCACGAAAGCGUGGGUAGCAAACAGG
rnacentral:rRNA from 1 species